rnacentral:lncRNA from 1 species
GGAAGCUGGAAACUUUCACGUGCCAUUGUCGCCAAAAACCUUCGCCUUUAUAAACCCCUUAUCCUACCUUGCCUUAUUGUUCUUCUCCUGCUCUAGGAUUUCCGCUCCAACUGCGUUGAGUGAUCGGUGAUGGUAGUGUGGUCGGCGUGGUGCGGUGGUCGUCAGGCUUCAUCUCCGUUCACCAAGGUUGGAUCCGGUUCGGUGUGGCGCCGCUCCCUCCGCUAUCAGGCUCCGCGGCAGCGGCGUUCUCCCUUCUUCAUCUUCCUCUCCGACCUUGUGUGGUGGUGCUGGUCUUGGAGUUGGGGUUUCCUGUACCUUGCCAUCCAGAUCUGCGCCCGUCUGCUAUCAAUUUCUUAUCGACUUGAGCAGGUUCUCCUCCCCUUCGGAUGACUCAAGGAAUCUACUAAUAGUUCUCCUAAUCAUAGAUUUUGUCUUGCAG